CGCUCAGUGUUGUUAUAUGGUGUAAUUUCACUUUUACACUAAAAGUGCGGAAUAAAAACCCCGCCGAAUUGUCUGGACUCCGCCCUUCAAUGACUGCUGUCUCGGGAAGCGACCGAGACGGUUUAGUGUUAAGUUCGUGUUCGUGAGGUGGAGAGAUGUAACGUUAAGUUACAGAAGAGUGUGAAAGUUUCUCAUGCCGGUUCGAUUUCCUGAAAAAAGAUCCUCUCGCCUCCAUUCCCGCCGAGGCCUGGUUUUACUACGAGUCGCACUGAAGUUUGAAGCAGCCACAUUUGGGCGGUUUUCUACUCAAAU